GACGAACGCUGGCGGCGUGCCUAAUACAUGCAAGUCGAACGCAGGGGGGACGGGUGAGUGACACGUGGGUAACCUCCCAUCAGAAGGGAUAACACUUGGAAACAGGUGCAAAACCGAUACUGAUGGAUGGACCCGCGGUGCAUUGGCUAGUUGGUGAGGUAACGGCUCACCAAGGCCACGAUCCAUAGCUGACCUGAGAGGGUGAUCGGCCACACUGGGACUGAGACACGGCCCAGACUCCUACGGGAGGCAGCAGUAGGGAAUAUUCGGCAAUGGGCGAAAGUCUGACCGAGCAACGCCGCGUGAGUGAAGAAGGUUUUAGGAUCGUAAAACUCUGUUGGUAGAGAAGCGGUACCGAAACAGAAAGCCCCGGCUAACUACGUGCCAGCAGCCGCGGUAAUUC
rnacentral:rRNA from 1 species